rnacentral:rRNA from 1 species
UACGUAGGGGGCUAGCGUUGUCCGGAAUCAUUGGGCGUAAAGAGCGUGUAGGCGGCCCGGUAAGUCCGCUGUAAAAGUCAAAGGCUCAACCUUUGAAUGUCAGUGGAUACUGCCGGGCUAGAGUCCGGAAGAGGCGAAUGGAACUCCUGGUGUAGCGGUGGAAUGCGCAGAUAUCAGGAAGAACACCAACGGCGAAGGCAGCUCGCUGGGACGGUACUGACGCUGAGACGCGAAAGCGUGGGGAGCGAACAGG